UUGAAAGUUCUUGAUAUUUUUGGUGUCUU
rnacentral:piRNA from 1 species